ensembl:lncRNA
GUUUGUACCAUGCUUUGGAAUUUAGGAAUGUUCAAUAUGAAAUAGCGCUAUAUAUAAUGUAAUACUAAGGUUAUAAUUAUUAUACUAUUAUCUUACUCUUACUUUCUUUUAAAUACAGAUUUCCUUUGGGCUCAGAAUUUCCUCUGCACAUUGACAGUGGCGCAGCAAAAUAAGUUGCAGCGUGGGAUUUUGGGAAGACAUCUCUGGCCAUCUGAAGUUAUGGGGCAUCUUUGACACAGACGGCAAUGACAAGAGUGGAGAAGAAGCUCCCUGGCUGCGCUGCACCCCUCGCUGGCACCCUCGGCCUGCUCCAUGCCCCCUGUCUCACUGCUGCUCCAGCCUUCUCAUCGUGGCCCCCACCAGGAAGACCACCAACACUGCUCCACUCACCUUCAUACCUUCACCUAUUCACCUGAACAUAAAUAAAAGAACACCUUUUUUUCCCACUACCACCACCUCCAGUGUGUCUGUGUUCUGCCUGUUGCAACCUAUAGUGGCCACAUACUCUUUAAGCAAAAUGGUGCA